GUCUGCAGCCAUGCCACCCUGAACAAGCCCAAUAUCUGAUCUCAGAAGCUAAGCAGGUUCUGGCCUGGUUAAUACUUGGAUGGGAGACCACCUAGGAAGACCAGGUGCUGUAGGCA
rnacentral:rRNA from 1 species